rnacentral:miRNA from 2 species
UGAGUAUUUUCGGUUUCGCAUC